CGGAGAGAUGGCCGAGUGGUUGAAGGCGUAACAUUGGAACUGUUAUGUAGACUUUUGUUUACCGAGGGUUCGAAUCCCUCUCUUUCCAU
rnacentral:tRNA from 1 species